rnacentral:rRNA from 1 species
UACGGGGGGGGCAAGCGUUGUUCGGAAUUACUGGGCGUAAAGGGCUCGUAGGCGGCCAACUAAGUCAGACGUGAAAUCCCUCGGCUUAACCGGGGAACGGCCUCUGAUACUGGCUGGCUGGAGUUCGGGAGAGGGAUGCGGAAUUCCAGGUGUAGCGGUGAAAUGCGUAGAUAUCUGGAGGAACACCGGUGGCGAAGGCGGCAUCCUGGACCGACACUGACGCUGAGGAGCGAAAAGCCAGGGGAGCAAACGGGG